AACGAACGCUGGCGGCGCGCCUAAUACAUGCAAGUCGAGCGAGAAGGUGUAGCAAUACACUUGUAAAGCGGCGAACGGGUGAGGAAUACAUGGGUAAUCUACCAUCGAGUGGGGAAUAACCAGCCGAAAGGUUGGCUAAUACCGCGUACGCUUCCGAGUCUUCGGGCUUGGAAGGAAAGCCGCACUGUGAGUGCGGCGCUCUUUGAUGAGCUCAUGUCCUAUCAGCUUGUUGGUAGGGUAACGGCCUACCAAGGCUUUGACGGGUAGCUGGUCUGAGAGGACGAUCAGCCACACUGGCACUGCGACACGGGCCAGACUCCUACGGGAGGCAGCAGUAAGGAUAUUGCGCAAUGGGCGAAAGCCUGACGCAGCGACGCCGCGUGGGGGAUGAAGGUCUUCGGAUUGUAAACCCCUUUCAGGAGGAAGAUGGAGCGAGCAAUCGUUCGGACGGUACCUCCAGAAGCAGCCACGGCCAACUUCGUGCCAGCAG
rnacentral:rRNA from 1 species